AGAGCGAACGCUGGCGGCAGGCCUAAAACAUGCAAGUCGAACGGACCCUUCGGGGUUAGUGGCGGACGGGUGAGUAACACGUGGGAACGUGCCUUUUGGUUCAGAACAACUCAGGGAAACUUGAGCUAAUACUGAAUAAGCCCUACGGGGGAAAGAUUAUCGCCAUUAGAGCGGCCCGCGUUGGAUUAGCUAGUUGGUGAGGUAAAGGCUCACCAAGGCUACGAUCCAUAGCUGGUCUGAGAGGAUGAUCAGCCACACUGGGACUGAGACACGGCCCAGACUCCUACGGGAGGCAGCAGUUAGGAAUCUUGCGCAAUGGGCGAAAGCCUGACGCAGCCAUGCCGCGUGAAUGAUGAAGGUCUUAGGAUUGUAAACCUCUUUCAGCUCUGACGAAGCGCAAGUGACGGUAGGAGCAGAAGAAGCACCGGCCAACUCGCGCCAGCAGCCGC
rnacentral:rRNA from 1 species